AACAAACAGCAGGCUGGGUCACGUGAUUGUAAAAGCAGCGGUGCGGUCAGUGCAUUGAGAUGUGUCCUCACCUGUGUUUGUCCAGGAACCUCCGCAGGUCACCGACUGUUUCCGACGGGGACAUUUUCACUAUGUUGUCCUUCAGUGAGUUUGGCAUGAAGUUAUCUGUUCUGCAGAAGUGGAGUUUUUCUUGUUCUGCAGCUUUGCAGUCCAUUCCUGUGCUGGAUUCUAGUGAUUAUCUUCUUUGAGACUAUAAUUCACGACUCGAAUAAUUGCUGCUUCUCUACGACUCACCUGCAGCUUUGCCCUCAGCGAGUUCCUGAUAUCAAUCACUCGGCCGGCCUUCACCACCAACUUCGGCAACUUGUUCAGGAACUGAUCUGUGGUCAGCUUCUUGCCUUUGAAUCAGAAGAAAACAUGAGAAUGACAGCAAAGUCUCUGAGGAUCUGCACCGCGGCUUUGAUCAGGGUGACGUUUGCAGA